UCCAACUUUAUUAUUAUUAUUAUUAUUAUUAUUAUUAUUAUUAUUGUUGUUGUUGUUGUUGUUGUUGUUGUUGUUGUUGUUAUUGUUAUUUUAGUGAAGAAAUCACUAAAAUCACUAAACUUCACCCAGUGGAGUUUGCCUUUAGUCUUGUGACCAAAAGAAAAAAGAAAAAAAUAUGUACACUCAAUAAAUUAAAUCAUAUUUAAGUGUAUACAUGUAAAGAUUUAAAUGAUAUGACUGACUUUACAGAUAGUUCUCAACUUACAAUCACAAUUGCUUCCAGAAUUUCCAUGGUUAAGCAAAAAAGUUGUUAAGUGAGUUUUGCUCCAUUUGGUGGAUCUUUCUUGCCACAGUUGUUAAGUGAAUCACUGCAGUUAAGUUAGUAACAUAGUUGUUAAGUGAAUCUGGCUUCCCCCAUUGACUUGGCUUUUGCUUGAGUUCACAAAAGUUGAUCACCAUCAUAAAUGUAUGCCAUGUGCCAAGCAUCUGAAUUUGAUCACGUAACCAUGGGAUGCUGAAACGAUUACAAGUGUGAAAAAUAGUCACAAGACACUUUUUUCAGUGCUGUUGUAACUUCAAACAGUUACUAAUGAAUGGUUGUAAUUCAGGGAUUACCUGUACUUUGUUUGUGAGAAGCUAACAUCAGAAAUAACUCCAAAUAAUUUUCAUUUAUUCACAACUUGUUCAUUUACUAUAGAAAAUCACAAACUAAAUGCAAUAGAUAAGCCAAUUUUUAAAAUUAAAUAUUCUAAUUAAAUCCACCCCAGGAACCUUCUGGGUGGGAAAAUUCAAAAGUAGUAUCUAUGAUUCUGAAAGUAUCUUUGGAUACUAAAAAACAGAGGCAAAACCUUUCACUGUAAUUUGUGUAAUCUUGAUUUAUUAACUUGUGUAAUAAAGCUUAUAUUAUCAUAUAGAUACAUCUGCUCAGGUAUAUUUAAGAAAGGAGAAAUGUUCAAUGAAACAAGACAAAGUGCAAACAUCUAAAAUGGAUUUUUUGAGGAAAAAAUGCUGCUCAAUGGAACAAAAUAUCCUGAUUUAGAUAUAAAUCUGCUACAGUCUGGUAGAUAAUGUAUCGCUCAAUAAUUUUUAUGCAAAUUAAAGAAUAAGGAUCAAAUCCCUUCCCAGCUUUGUAACAAUGGGUCAUUUGUUAAAGCAACUAGCAUGAUUCUGAGUCUUAAUAAUAGUGUUACCUCACAACAUGUUUUUGAAUAUCCAAUAUUUGAAAUUGGGGCAUGAUUUUAAACAAUUUAAUAUUCAACAUGUUAUUUUUUUGUUUUGUUUUGGGUUUAGUUUUGCAUUUUUCUUUCCUUAUGUUGUUGUAAAUCUUGACACACUGUUUCAAUACAAUAAUAUGUAGACAGUAUUAUAGUAUACAUAUAUUAUAUUGUUUAGAUAACUUAGAGUAUUGGAAAUUAAAAAAGAGAAAAAUAUUCUACCAUUAUUAAUUGUAACUUAAGAUAUCAGUAUUACAAGCAUAAAGUGAUUUUUCAUAAAAAAAUUGAAUAUAACAGAAGAAAAGAAACUGCUGCAGAUUACAUCAAAAUAUUUAUUAUACAGUAAUGGAUUUGGUCUUAAGUUGGUAACUUAGUAUUGAUUAUCUCCACUGUAUAAUUGUGUAACGUGUAUUUUUUUUCCUGUUCAGUUGUGUUUGAUUCUUGGAGAGGUCUGCAAUUUUCUUGACAAGUCCCUGCGGUUUCCUUGGCAAGAUGUUUCAGCAGUGUUUGCCACUGCUUCUUUUCUAGGGGUUAGCAAAUAUAAUUGGCCCAAGGUCAUCUAGCUGGCUUUGUGCCCAAGAUGGGACUAGAACUCCCAGUCUCCAGCUUUCUAGCCUGGUGCCUUAACCACUACACCUACUGCUAACUUAUAAAUUGCCAUAUUGCAUGAUAUAUUGUAUUUAUGGGAUACAAUAGAGUGGAACCAUUCUUUCUUAUAUUUGCUUCCAUAUAUGGUGAUAGUUUUGCCAUUGCUGCUUAUUCUCCAAGUUUAACUUCCCAAUUAGAUAUUGUCAGAAUAGUAUCUCUCUUCCAGAGUAUUUGACAUUUUAGAAUGUGGGUAAACAAGCUUCUAGUUUUCCUAACAUUCCUUUUUAGGAAAACAAAUCCUAUAUAUAAUGUUAAAUAUGUCCCUCUCUUCCCAGCAGUUAAAAACAAUUACAUUGAAGCCCUCUGGCAGACUUAAAUACCUGCCUUAUAUAAAGGCAGAGAUGUGAAGUAAGCAGCAGGUGUUCCCACAAGGCACAAGAUCUUCUGUUCCAUAUCAAAUAUGGGGCUCUACACUUCCAAAAGUCUUCCAGCCAACUCGUGGGUGAUUCACAUACAUACACAUCCCUGAGUUAACUUGCUUCUGUUUUGGAAUUUCUCAUAGGUAUCUAGUUGUUACCAAGUCUAAUAACUGAAUAAUGGUGUAGGCUGAUCUUUGAUCUUACCCACUGAAUUGUUUUAUUUAUUAGUUAAAUUUAAAAAGCCACCCAGCUGAUCACAACUCUGGAUGGCAUACAAGCUAAACGCCUUUAUAAAGGUUUUUUUUUUGAAGCUACACAAAGAGCUCCUAUUUUUAGAAUCACAGUGAAUUUCUUAGCAGCAACUAUAUUCCAACCAAUAUGUUUUUCUGAUCUGCUAAGCAAUAUGUUCCAUCUAAACUGAUUUUUAAUUUAAAGCAUUGGUGGGAAGCUGACCAUGCAUAUCUUAGCAACCAUCUUAUAGUUGACUAUAAUAUAUUGUCCAAAUUCCAGAUGUGUCCAUUGGGCUAAAAAAAGAUUGGGGAGCUCUUUACUAAACAUUAGUUGACUCAUCUGUCAAAUAAUCCGUCCGAUAGCUGUAAUAAUAAAAGGAAUUAAAGAAACAGAACUAUCCAUACAGUACAGUGUAUGCAUACUCUACAAAACAGUCUAUAAUCUGGAGCAACUGGGGUUGACUGAAGUGACUCUGGAGAUAUAUGCAUGCUCUUGGCAACAGCAGAUAUGGUGGGUUUAGCCAAUGUUUGCCACUUCUGAAGGUGCGCUGUGUUGCUGGAUGUGAAAAAGAAAAGAGGAGGAGGAAGCUGCACUAUGAAAGGACACAACAUGGGUUGACACAGAACCAGGGCACGGCUUAAUGCAGAUUUAGGAAGGAUUUCAAAAACCAAACACAGAGUGUAUUGUCAGGUAAUUACUGUAUGUGCCUGUUUAGUCUGCUAUCCAUAUGCUGACUGGUGAUGGAGUAUUUCAAGAUAUUUGAAGCUCUAUUCCUAUAGUAACUUUAAAAAUUGGUCUUGAACAGCCUGACAAACAAAGAGGAUCUCCAGAUAAAAAGCUGUCUUCUAACAAGCCUUAAGCAGAGACACACAUUCCCCUGAAAUUGCUAGGAAUAGGAGUUUUUCAUUUCCUUAUUUUACAAAUAGCAAGCAUAGCUUGGAGCACUGAACUUUUCCCUUCAUUUUCCAGUUGCAGUCCCUAAAGCUCAAAUAAUCCUCAGGUUGUAUUUUUCAUGAAAUGUCAAAAACAAAUGGACAUCAAUAAACCACGUUAAGGAAGAAGUGCAGUUCUUGAAACUUCUCAAAGACGUUUAAGCACCUCGUGGGAAGUCUAUUUCUCCAUUGUUUUCAGUACUAUUAUCACACGUCAGUAGGUCUUACAUGGCUUUCUUGAGUAAAGAUUUUUCAGUUUUCUGUAGAAGUUUUCAGUUUCAGUCAUGGUUCAAAUAUAAUUUUAUUUUUGUAAGAACACUGGGUUUUUUUGACAAUGCAUGUCAGUCGUAGAUCAGUGCCACUGAAAUGAAACACUUGUUUCCGACUUUUAAAAAACAUAAUGGUGGAUUAAAAUGUUCUCUUCAAUUUAGGCACAGGUAUCUCCCAGCACUCAAAAGAGUAAGUAAGGCUUGAUUGCAAAAUAAAAAUAAAAUAAAGAAGGAUUUACUUUCAAUAAUUAAAGAGAAAAUUUCUCAGUGAAAAGGCAUAGGGAAUUGUUAACCAAAAGUGAGUUUAUACAAUAGAAAAAAGUAAUCCGAAUUGCUCUCAAUAAAUUUUGUUAUUCACAACAUAUAUCAUGAUACAGGUAGUCCUUGACUUAUGAUCACAAUAGGGACUGGAACUUCUGUCACUAAGCAAAGUGGUUGUUAAGUGUGUUGCACCCAAUUUUACAACCUUUUUUUUUUGCUCAGUUAAGUGAAUCACAUGGUUAUUAAGUGAAUCCAAUUGAAUUUGCUUGUCAGAACCAGCUCAGAAAGUUGCAAGUUGUAAUGUGUGAUCACAUGAUCCCAGGAUACUGCAACCAUCAUAUAUACAUGCCAGUUGCGAAACAUUUGAAAUUUGAUUAUGUGCCUGUGGGGACACUUUGCCAGUCAUAAGUGUGCAGCUAGAUGUAAGUCAAUUUUUUAGCAUAAUCACUAAACGAAUGAUUGUAAGUCGAACGCUCCGUGUAGCAACAAGAAAUACAAAUUCACUUCAUUAUCCAUUUUUAAAAACUAUUUCAUUGUAGGGGACACAGGAAAACAUGUUUCAAAUAAAGUCAAAGUUUACAUUAAUCAAACUGAUUCAGUAAUAUCCAUUAUAUCAGUAUAGAAAUAUACUGAUAGCAUAAAUACGGUGUGUGAACAAAAGUCAAAGCACAUGGAGAAUUUUUAUAUAAAUUCAAACUGGUUAUUUUCUCCUAAAUACUUAUUUGUCCAUUUGACACAUGACCUUUGAACAUGGCUAAGUACAGUAACUUUUUUUCCUGAAAAAAUGUUAAUAACAUUAAUAAAAUGUACUAUGAUUGACCUGUGGGCCUGACUUUUGACACACAUUGUAUUUAUUCCAAUAUUAAAAAGGGUUGAUCCAGUAUCUACAUAGGGGCAAACUAUGUAACCCAAUGUGGUCAGCAGCCCUCAUGCUUCUUCCCCCAGCUCCCAGUGUUCUGUUGUUUGGAUGGUUGAUGGAUGUAGGAGAUAACAUGAACCAAAUCACUCAUUUUACUCUUCAAAACUCUGGAGCUUCUCUCUCCAUAUGGGCCCUAUCCCAAUCUGUUUUGUACUGUGGUCCUCUGCACGCAGUCUGGGGAGCCAAUGUUACUAAUUCACUCACACUUUUUCGCUUCCUAAAAUCAAAGUUAAGCCCUUGAUUCCUUUGGACUCAAAUGUAAACCUCAAUGCAUUCAGGCAAUACAACCUUAUUCCCAAGAAAAGAUCCAUUAGGUUACAAUUAAAGUUCUUACUUCAGUUUCUAACGUAAGUUAACUAGACUAAAUAUAAUCCAAGAAUGCCCCAUUUUUCUGAACAACUUGCAAAAUAUGAGUAUGGGAAAUGACAUCAGUUGACUUAUAUUUCCUGCUCAGAAGAAGGAACCUUUAAUUAUGAUGUCCAGAGGGUGGUGGUUUCUUUCCAUUUUAGGUUACGAAAUGUACAUCCUUCAGUUGGCAUUUGUCACUUUCAGAAUGACAUUAUUCAUCCAUGCACAACCCAGAGUGGUCUAACUGCACAUAGAAGGAAAGGGGCUACACUAGCACUACUUCCUGUUUGUUGAGACUGCAUUUUCUUUUUUUUGGUCCUUCCCAUGAAACAGCAAAAAGUGAGGAAUUCUUGGAAAAGCUCCAAAGUGAUUCUUUAUUCAAACCUGCCUUGUGCCUCAGCUUGAACUAAGCAGAUUAUUGGCUAAAGACAUAACCCUCUUUAUGUAGUUCAACAUUUGCUUUGAUCACAUUAAAUUUGUCUUAUAUGGGAGGAACUACUUCAGGAACUGAAUAAAAGAUAUACUUCAGGAAGCUGUACCUAGAGUGGUUCUAAAUCCAGACUUCAAGUACUUGAGGAUAUAAUCAAGAAGAACAUAUGCAUAUUUCAUAUGUAAUAGUUGAUCUACAGCUAUAUUAACAAACUUAUAAUGGCACAAUAAUUGAACAAGAACAAACAUGUUAACUCAGAAGGGAACAGACUUCAUAAUUUUGUGAGAGACAUAAGUAAAACACACCAGAGUGUAUACUCCUCCUAGGGUCACCCAAAGUAUAAAGGCUAUUUCAGUUGCCCAAAUAAAGGAAGCAGUUACCUGUAAUAAGCAGCAUCAAUAUAGGAAGAUACUAGAGGCAGGUAAUCACCUUAACGAAAGCAACAUAAGCAUCAUUACAUACUGGGUGGGGGAAGUCAACAGUAAACCACUCCUGUAUUUUACCAAGAAAACCAUAUGGGUAGACAAGAUAAAGUGACUGAUGAUAGGGGCCUCAGUUUCAAUGAUACUUAACAUACUACUAGUGUUUAUGAUGUGACUAAAGUAAAACCUUUCAGGCAUCUAGUUGCUGAUAUUACCAUCCAGGAAAAUAUAAUUUGAAGCUUCAAAAGCAUAAUUUUAGUGGGAACAUGGAAUAUAAAAAGCACAAACGUGAGAAAGUUCAAAGCGAAGAUGAAAUUAAUUUUGUUGACAUUUUGAGUACCAACAAAUUCAAGUAGAUUGAAGUUGAACACUUUCAGUCCAAAAAAAAAAUCAUGUUUACUACUCAGGGUAUGAAAAAUAAAGAAAAAUAUUUCAUAAUACAGAAGAACUUGGCAAAGACAGUCCUUGAGUAUAAUACAGUAAAUGGCUGAAUAAUAUCAGUUAGAUUUUGCAGACAACCCUUUAAUAUUAUGAUUAUUCAAAUUUAUGCCGCAAUCAUUGGUGCAGAAAAAAAAGAUGAGUUUUAUGACCAAAUUCAUUCUGAAAUGGAUAAAACAAGCAAAUAAAGUUGUGCUACUUCUGGUUGGACACUGGAAUGCCAAUGUGGGAAAUAGUAAGAAGGAAAAUGCAGCUGGGCUUUAUGGACUACAAAAGAGAAAUGAAGCAGAACAACUUAUCAACUUCUGCCAAUCUGAUGGUUUCUUCACUGAUAACACCUGUUUCAGUCAAGCCAACAGCACCAGAUGGAGCACACAGGAAUCAUAUUGACUAUAUUAUUGGUACAAGAAGAAGAAAUAUUGAGUUAUAAUAACAAAGGCAUGAUUGAGGGCUGAUUGUGGAAUAGAUCACAAAUUGUUUAUAUGCAAAUUUCAAGUCAAGUUAACAUGGAGGGACAGAACCAGCUAGUUUCCAUAAUAUGAUCCUGAAUAUAUAUCUACCAUUUUCAAGAAGAACACCAGAAACUGCAAUUUACUUCUGAACCUUAUUAAUAGAUAGCCAGAUGAAUUGUGGAAUUAAAUCAAAGGAUAUAAUGAUGCGUGGGGAUGACCUUGAGAGACAGGGAGAAGAGAGGGCAGCCAGAGGCAACUUAGAUCACAUGAGGAAUGUGCGCAGGGCAAAACAGCUCAGAAGCAAUACUCCCCAGUUUCUUUGGGCUGUAAAGGAGACUGGACAAGCGAUAAAGGUACUUUCAGAUUUGCAAGAUUCUGUUACUGUAACCUUACAAUAAAGUAGAAUUGGCUCAUCUGGUCAUGCUUCCUGUCUGGUCUACCUCAAAAGACUGACAAAGAAAUUGUUAAAGAUGAAUGUGAAAAGAUAUUACCACAGACCCAGAAACAGAAGACAGGAAACUUGGUGUUAAAAGAAAUGCUAGAAAUUACCCAGAGGAGAGAAGCAAAACCAAGAAAGAUUGCAGCAAGCUCAGUUUGGGUACUCCACGGUUUGCUGAUGUUAAGCUGCACCUGUUUCCAGUUUCUUUCUGGGUGCAAUCCAAGACGUCAGUUAUUAAAGCCUGAAUUACUUGUGGGUACAGGCCUGGUUACUUGUGGGACUGCCUCUCCCUGAAGGAAUUUGCCUUCUCCACCUGGUCUGAGAGGGUAGGUGUAUUCCAGGUCCCUUCCUUAAAGUUGGACCUAUUCAAUGCACCUUUUUGAUAGCAGGCACUACUCAUUGGAACACUCAUCCCCCUAAGAAGUGGCAGGACUUUACCCUCCUAGUCUUCCAAAAAGCCUUGGUCUUUUCUUGCAAGCAUAGGAGUAGUUUGUCACUGGAGACCAGAAAAGUUCUUUGUUGGACAUGAGAGCUGUAUUAUUUUGGGGGAUGUACUUAUACUUUUAUUUUUAUUUUUAUUCUUUUUAUUAUUGCUUGUAAGCUACUCAGGACUAUGCUACAUAAAUUGGAUGGCUCUGUAAACCAGAUAGAUAGAUAGAUAGAUAGAUAGAUAGAUAGAUAGAUAGAUAGAUAGAUAGAUAGAUAGAUAGAUAGAUAGAUAGAUAGAUAAUAGACAGACAGACAGACAGACAUGUGGAAGACAGACAAAGAGAGACAGAGAGAGAUGUAGAUCUCAGGAAGAAAUUUACCCAUUUCAGAAAGAAAUAGAGCAGUAUAAUGAUAACAUCUGUAAAGACAUCGAGAGUAGAUAAAGAAAAAAUCCUCAAAAACAUUUUCCAAAUGAUACCUGAAGUCAAAAGUGGCUCCAACUUCAAAUCGCUGUGGUAAAGAAUGCCAAUGGGUAGAUAGUAACUGAUUCAGAGAAGAUCAAAUAGAGAUGGAAAGAAUAUAUAUUGACAUUCUGUUUAGUAGAUUGUCAACACUCAUGAAAACUUAGCAAUUUUUUUUACAAUAGUCUCUAGUUCUAAUCUAGGCAACAAAGGUAGAUCAAUAUACUGGAAAUUACCAAAUUGAAAGGCUACAAGAAUUGAUAGAACAUUUACAGAAAUAUGGCAAGUAACAGAAAAAGAUUCUUUAACAGAUUGUGCAAGCUAUUAGAUUAUACUCUUAAUUUCACAUACCAGCAAAACAAUGGUUAGGACUGCCAACCAUAGGAGUACAUAAUAGGAGGUGCCAGAUAUUCAAGCUGAUUUUAGAAAAGUGUGGGGAACAAGAAACAUUGCUAAUGCACAAUGGUUAAUUGAGAAAGCCAAAGACUAUUCAGAACAAGUCAACAUGUGUUUUGUUGACUAUAGAAAGGCCUUUGAUUGUGUUAUUCAUACCAAGCUGGGGAAAUUCCUUUGGAAAUUGGGAAUCCCACAAUAAUUCAUUGCCUAAUGCAAAAUGUUUACAUAAGCUAGGAAGCCACAGUGUAGAUUAGGGGUUCCCAACCAGAGGUGCUCGCACCCCUGGGAGUGCGAGACAAUAUUCCAGGGGGAAUGAAAACUUAGGUUUAGAAGUUCCAAAUUAUUUUUUAUUUUCACAUCAUUCAAAAUUUGUUUAAAUAAGUUUAUUACUUUUGUAAGGGGUGGAAGAAUAUAUCAGAAGCGUUCUAGGGGUGCGGGGUAUAGAAAAGGUUGGAAACCGCUGGUCUAGAUGGAACAUGGUGAAACAAAUCGACUCUACAUCAGUAACAAUAUGAGACAAGGCUAUAUGUUUGCUUUUCAUUUAUCCAAAUUAUAUGAGAAAUAUAUAUUGAAGGAAAUUAGGAUGGAAGAAAAUGAGUGUUGUUUUAAAAUUGGAGGGGAAAAAACCCAGCUCCAAUAAUGAAAGCCAAGAAGCACAAUGAAAGGACUACAGUUAAAUAUAAAGACCAAAUUAAUUACAGCAGGUUCAGCAAUCAACCAUGAAAGUACUGAAGAGAUGGCUAGCUUCUGCCUUUAGGAUUGACUACUAAUAAUAAAGGAACCAGUCAAGAAAUAUAUUGCAAACUAGAGUAACAGUGAAAACCUUGAAAAAGGCAUUCAGAUGCUGCAAUGGGGCUAUAUGGACAGAAGUAAAGUCAUGUUAUAAUAAAAAUAAUCUAUACUUGGGCAAUUCUUUUUCUACAUGAAGAAUGCUAUUUUAAAAAAAUAAAACAGCUUCACAUUUAACCCUGAAACUACACAAGUGUCAGUUCUUAUUUCUAGCUUACAAGGUUUGCUGUCAUAUAGAAUUCUAUUCCUAGGAGAGUUUAUGAAUAACAAAUACCCAUACUGAAGGGUAUUGUAUGGGGGGUGAUAUGAAUAGUACU